rnacentral:sRNA from 1 species
GCCAGGUGCCGUGGUGCGCACCUGUAAGCCCAGCAGCUUGGGAGGCUGAGGCAGGAGGAUCGCGAGUUCAAAGCCAGCCUCAGCAAUGGUGAGGCCCUAAGCAACUCAGUGAGAUUCUGUCUCUA